rnacentral:sRNA from 1 species
GUUUCGCUCCUAAAAAUGCUUGAGUAUUUCCUCAUUAGGUGCAGUAGAUAAGAUGCAACUGAUUCUUUCUUUAUGUCUUCCUCUGCAUGAGCCCUCUCAAGAAGCCUUCUAAGUGCUCUUCUCUCGGUAAGAGCUGUUGCCGAUGACGCAACGCCGACCCGAAAUGCAGUUUGUCGGAAAAAUUCAAGUUCAUUGUCAUGAAGAAAGCCAUUGGAUUUUGCCUCAUUCUGAACUAAUUGAUUCACAUCCACACCAGCUUGCUUUUCAAUCAGAUCCAAGGUAAAAACUGCUUUCUCCAGAUCUUUUGCGAUAUCUAGUAUCUGAAAAUUUCCCAAAUAAGUUGUUUCUUCCAAUUGGUGAAGACUUUCCAGAAGCGCAUAUCUUGCUUUCUCAAAUUUUGCCAGGACAUUUUCUGCUGUAAAGGCCUGCAUGCAUAUAGCUUGCUGCACUCUGAGCAAUACUGAAGUAGAUUCUUGGCCUUCUCAACAGCUAUGCGCAAGGAACUCAAUGCAAGAAGUCCAGAACUGUUUCCAGGCCUUGUAGCUUCAAGGACAGGAAUAACAUCCAAUACUUCAAGAACUACUUUGUGAAGUUGCUUACAUAGUGCUCCAUGCAGCU